rnacentral:SRP_RNA from 1 species
GCCGACCCCUCGUGCGGCGUCAUCCCGCGGAACUCCCCCAGGGCCGGAAGGCAGCAAGGGUACGCAGGCUCUGGCGGGUGCGCGGGGGGUCCUUUUC